UACGAAGGGGCUAGCGUUGCUCGGAAUCACUGGGCGUAAAGGGUGCGUAGGCGGGUCUCUAAGUCAGGGGUGAAAUCCUGGAGCUCAACUCCAGAACUGCCUUUGAUACUGGAGAGCUUGAGUCCGGGAGAGGUGAGUGGAACUCCGAGUGUAGAGGUGAAAUUCGUAGAUAUUCGGAAGAACACCAGUGGCGAAGGCGGCUCACUGGCCCGGUACUGACGCUGAUGUGCGAAAGCGUGGGGAGCAAACAGGG
rnacentral:rRNA from 1 species